CCAGACUCCUACGGGAGGCAGCAGUGGGGAAUAUUGGGCAAUGGGCGCAAGCCCGACCCAGCAACGCCGCGUGAAGGAAGAAGGCUUUCGGGUUGUAAACUUCUUUUAUCAGGGACGAAGCAAGUGACGGUACCUGAUGAAUAAGCCACGGCUAACUACGUGCCAGCAGCCGCGGUAAUACGUAGGGAGCGAGCGUUGUCCGGAAUUACUGGGUGUAAAGGGAGCGUAGGCGGGGAUGCAAGUUGGGUGUUAAAUCUACCGGCUCAACUGGUAGUCGCACUCAAAACUGCAGCUCUUGAGUGAAGUAGAGGCAGGCGGAAUUCCUAGUGUAGCGGUGAAAUGCGUAGAUAUUAGGAGGAACACCAGUGGCGAAGGCGGCCUGCUGGGCUUUUACUGACGCUGAGGCUCGAAAGUGUGGGGAGCAAACAGGAUUAGAUACCCGCGUAU
rnacentral:rRNA from 1 species